GGGGUCUGGGGGGGCCGCUGGCGGCCCCCACCCACAAGGCUGCCCCGCGCCAGCUUCUGCAGCUCGACGGGCACGACGGCGCUGGGGCAGUGCUUCUCGAUGUAGUCCUGGAAACCCUGCACUCCCAUGCAAACGCUCUCCUGAAUUGCCAGUGUGCGCCGACUGAUCUCCCAGUGUGCACAGAUUAGCAGACCUGAGCUGAGGCCAGCUACAUGCUGUCUUUGAGAGAGAUGAAAAGAGUUAAAAACCAGCAAGCUCCUCGCUCGCGGUCAGAAAACCUUACUGCUGAAAGUCAUACAAACAUGCAGCCUGGCCCGUGUUCAAUGUCUUGAUUGCCAUAAAACUAUAGAAACAUUACUUAGCAUGAAUUCAUAGUCUGGUUCUGGAAAAGAAAGAAAAAGAAAAAGGUAAAUAUUGCGUAAUUCUCAGUAAUGAGAACAUUCUUAUUUUCCAGAAGACGUCAGUUUAAUCCUCCAGGUACUCUCAGUAUAUAGAGCAACUUUUGAUCUCCCCCUACAUAAUACAGCGCGGGAGAGUGUCUCUUUAAAUUAAUUUAUAAAAUAAUUCAGGACUGUGGGUGUCUUUGAUCUGUUCCUCUCUGCUAAAGUACAGAAGAGAAGAACAUGUCGCUUAGCAACCCCAGCCGGGACUGGGGGGAGGCAGCGAGCGAUGGAUGGUCCAGAGUCACCAAAGGGAAAGAUUCAUCCCCACCAGAAAACUCAACUUCUGAAGAUGUUUCUCCAAAAUAAAGAAUGCAAAUAAACAAACACGGGGGCUUGCAGAAUGAGAAAUCAACCAUCAAACCCCACAGCCCUGCAUGGCUGAGUUGUGGAACAGAAAACUGCUGCAAAAAACACUGUGUAAGAGGGAGAAUGAUAGAACCAGCCCACUUCAGUGUGCUUCGCACAGAUGAAAAAUGUCUCCUAAUUAAAUAAAGAGUGAUCAUUACAAUAUCACUGUGAUGCGGACUACCUUCCGCACUCCUGAAUCCCAGGACUGGAAGAGUAAUCUUGGUUUCCAGAAGCAUCAUGUUGGAGAACUCUCAGUUUGGUGCAAAAAGUCUUGAAAAUGUGUUGGCCCAGCCAACAGUAUUGGGGAAAAGAUUUUCUUUGGCAUGGGACACAACACUGUGACAGCCUCUCUUCUUAAGCUAGAAUGUAUCAGACUAUUUCUUUCUCUUCUCAUCUCCUCCUAAAGGAAAAUAGAUUUAUUCAGCUUUUUUUUUUUAAGAUGCAUAGGAAAGUUUGAAGUUAAAAAUAAAUCUCAGAUCCUUCUUAGUAGAUGGAUCCCAUUGCCCUCUGCAAAACA